rnacentral:rRNA from 1 species
GAAAAAUUAAUAAUUUAUAAAUAAUAAAAAAAUUUUUAAUACUAGAAUGGGGGUUAUAGUAUUAUAAGUAAAAAAAAUUAUAAAUUUUAUAGUUAAUUAGUAUUGUAAAAGAAUUUUGAAAUAAAUGAAAAUGAAAUUUUUAAAAAGUAAAUUUAAUUUGUUGUAUCUUGUGUAUCAGAGUUUAUUAAAUAAAUUUAUUUUGAAAAAUAAAUCUCGAAUUUAAAGGAGUUAAUUAAUUAUAAAAGUUAAUGUAAUAUAAUUAUUUUUAAUAAUUAAUUUGAAAUGAAAAGUUAAUCGUUUUUAAAUAUAUCUAGUUUUUUUAGAAAUAAAUUUAAUUUAAAAUUUAAUUUUAUUAAAAAUUUUUUUUUAAUUUAUAGUAAAUUAAAUUUAAUAUUUUAAGGGAUAAGCUUUAAAUUAAAAAUUUAUAUUAAAAAAAAAUUAUUUAAAUUUUUAAGAUUUAAAUUGUUUAAAAAUUUUAAUUUUUUAUAAAAAAUUUUAAUAAAAAUAAAAUUUAUAGUAAAAUUAAAAUUAUAUAAAAAAAAAAUUUAAAAUAAGAAAAAAUUUUAAAUAAUGAUAAAAUUAGUAUAAAAAAAAUUAAUAAAGUAAAAAUUUUAAAAAUUAAAUUAAAGGAAUUCGGCAAAUAUAUAUAUUCACUUGUUUAUCAAAAACAUGUCUUUUUGAAAAUAAUUUAAGGUUUAAUCUGCCCACUGAUGAAAAUUGAAGGGCUGCAGUAUAUUGACUGUACAAAGGUAGCAUAAUCAAUAGUCUUUUAAUUGAAGACUUGUAUGAAUGAUUUGAUGAAAUAUAAACUGUCUCUAAUUUAAAUAUAGAAUUUAAUUUUUUAGUCAAAAAGCUAAAAUGAUUUUAAAAGACGAGAAGACCCUAUAGAGUUUUAUAUUUAAAUUAUUUAAUAUUUUAUAUAUAAAUUAUAAUAAAAAUUAAUUAAAAUAUUUUAUUGGGGUGAUAGAAAAAUUUAAAAAACUUUUUUUAAAAAAAAUCAUAAAUAAGUGAAAUGAUGAUCCAUAAUUAAUGAUUAAAAGAAAAAAUUACCUUAGGGAUAACAGCGUAAUUUUUUUUUUUAGUUCAAAUAAGAAAAAGAGAUUGCGACCUCGAUGUUGGAUUAAGAUAAAAUUUAAAUGCAAAAGUUUAAAAUUUUGAUCUGUUCGAUCAUUAAAAUCUUACAUGAUCUGAGUUCAAACCGGUGUGAGCCAGGUUGGUUUCUAUCUUUAGAUAAUUAUAAUAUUUUAGUACGAAAGGAUCAAAUAUUAAAAAUAAUUUUAAAAAUAAGAAUUUUAUUAAUAUU